AUGAGUAUAACGGUGAUCGCCCUGCUCGCCUUCACCGCCGGCUUCGCGUGGGCGGUGCGCCGGACGCGCCGCAGCCCGUGCGACCUCGCGUUCGUGAUCACAGCCUACUACCUCGUCGCCGUGCUCUGCUGCUGCGUCAGGAAGCUGCAGCUCCAGCGGCUCGACGACGACCCGUCGUUGGCCCCCGAGCGGCGCCGGGCCAGGCUCGCCGCGUGGGCGGCCUCGGCGCUCUUCGUCGUCGCCUGCUUCGCGUGGGCGGUGUACCGCGCGCGCCGCAGGCCGCGCGCCCUGGCGUUCGUGAUCGCCAUCUACUACCUCAUCGCCGUGCUCUACUGCUGCCUCAGGAAGCUCGAGCUCCUGCGGCUCGAGGACGACCCGGCCGCGGGGCCCGAGCGGCGGCGGACCAGGCUCGCCGCCAUGGCUGUCUCGGUGGCGCAGGGCAGCACGGUUGCGCUGAGUGCCGCGGACAGGAUGCCGAACCUGGCGCUGAAGCUGGCCGUGUUUGGGCUCACCGCCAUGGCGUUGGGCCUCGUGUACUUCUUCAUUUUCAGCCGCGUAGAUGGGGAGUACGGGCGUGCUCAGUCGGAGAGGCCUUUGCACGAGCAAUCCCCGGAGCAGAGGGCCUAG
rnacentral:rRNA from 1 species